rnacentral:sRNA from 1 species
AUGUACCACGCGUACACUCCGGUUCCUGCCCGCCGUCCGCACCCACUUGACGAGUGCUCGCUACGUUGUGUUAGCC